AUUGAACGCUGGCGGCAGGCCUAACACAUGCAAGUCGAGCGGAUGAAGGGAGCUUGCUCCUGGAUUCAGCGGCGGACGGGUGAGUAAUGCCUAGGAAUCUGCCUGGUAGUUGGGGAUAACGUCCGGAAACGGGCGCUAAUACCGCAUACGUCCUGAGGGUGAAAGUGGGGGAUCUUCGGACCUCACGCUAUCAGAUGAGCCUAGGUCGGAUUAGCUAGUUGGUGGGGUAAAGGCCUACCAAGGCGACGAUCCGUAACUGGUCUGAGAGGAUGAUCAGUCACACUGGAACUGAGACACGGUCCAGACUCCUACGGGAGGCAGCAGUGGGGAAUAUUGGACAAAGGGCGAAAGCCUGAUCCAGCCAUGCCGCGUGUGUGAAGAAGGUCUUCGGAUUGUAAAGCACUUUAAGUUGGGAGGAAGGGCAGUAAGUUAAUACCUUGCUGUUUUGACGUUACCAACAGAAUAAGCACCGGCUAACUUCGUG
rnacentral:rRNA from 1 species